rnacentral:rRNA from 1 species
GUAGUAGCAAAUACUCUAGCGAGCCCCUGGAGGACUGACGCGGAGAAGGGUUUCGUGUGAACAGCCGUUGCACACGACUCAGUCUAUCCUAAGCCCUAGGGGAAACCCGAUGUAUCGGGGCGGCGCCCCGCGAGGGCGAAAGGGAAUCCGGUCCCUAUUCCGGAACCCGGUAGCGGAACCGUCCUACGUCGGGCCCCCCGCCCCUCGCGGGCGGGAAGCUCGUCGGGGUAACCCAAACAGACCCCGAGAAGCCGUCGGGAGGCGAGGGAAGAGUUUUCUUUUCUGUUUGAGCGUUCGGGUUCCCUGGAAUUGCCUAGCGCAGAGAGAGGGAAUGGAGCGCGUAGAGCACCGCAGUUGCGGCGGUGUCCUCGCAUGCCCCUCGGACCUUGAAAAUCCGGGGACGGGCCACGUGGAGGUGUCGCGCCGGUUCGUACCCAUAACCGCAGC